ensembl:snoRNA Gm25342 small nucleolar RNA SNORA17
ACUGCUCUUAGAGGCAUUCUGGGUGUGACUGCUGUGUCACAUGUGCAUCAGUAGGUGGCAGAGAGGAGAAAGGCUAUGGCUAAACUCAAUAUUCUGAUCUAUGAAUACCUAAAUGAUUAUUAGCUUAGCAUU